AUUUGUUACAAUUUCUUGAUGCAGGUUGCUUUGAGGAAUUUACAAAAUUUUAGUAUCCCUGGAAGUGAAAUCCCGGAUUGGUUUACUCGAGAUGAGGUUUGCUUUUCCAAAAAGAAAUAUGAUGCGAUAAAGAGCGUGAUUAUAGCUGUUGUCAUCUCUAACAACCCUCAAAUCGAGCAUGAUUCAAGAUAUGAUGGGUUGCCUGUAAUAUAUGAAGUCCAAGCAAAGAUCCUGAGAGCAAACAUAGCAGUUUUCACCCAUACAAUGAACUUGAGAGGUAUCCCUUCUACGGAGGAAGAUCAGCUUUUUUUGUGCAGAUAUCCGGAUUUUACUCAUUUAGUUUUGUUACUACAAGACGGUGAUAAAAUACAGGUAGAAAGGCGCAAUCCUCCUUAUGAUCAUAGAAUUAUGUUGAAGAAAUGUGGGAUUCAUCUAGUUUAUGAGAAUGAUGAUGAUUAUGAUGGUGAAGAAGAAUCUUUGAGCGAAAAUUUACACACCAUUUCACACAGAUUAACAAGGUUUGUCGACUUUCCUGAGGAGCACAAGGGUAUCUCAAACUCUCUUCGAGGAGAUAAGAGGACAGGAAGGAAAUGGAUUACAUUGCCUGGAGUGUGUAUCUGGCAUUUUAAGGAUCCUUUCGGCAAAUUUGUUUUCUUUUACUGGACUCAAUGCAGGAAACUAGUGAAGCUGCUCCUUUUUUUCUUUUUUCUUUUUUUCUUUUUCUUUUUCUUUUUAUUUUGACAUUACUAAGAAAUUGUUG
rnacentral:lncRNA from 1 species